rnacentral:rRNA from 1 species
GACCUCGGAUCAGGUAGGAAUACCCGCUGAACUUAAGCAUAUCAAAAGCGGGAAAAAGGGAAAA